ACAUGGACACAGCUCAGACAUCCCGUGACACACAACUGGAUAUGUAAAAGGGUCUCUGAAUGGUGGAGUGUCACUCAGCCUGUCAAGGGCAUCUGGAAGGUUCUACAGCAUGGGGGAACCGGCCAAAGCCUGGGAAGGAACCCAUCAUAUCCCAAGGAGAUCUGACACAGGGAAAGGGUUGUGCCACAGCUCACAAGAACCCAAAAGGAUGGAAAGAAAAACGCUGCUCAACCUCACUCUGCGAGCUCCCCAGAGUUAUUAGAGUCAUAGAGACAGGAGACUGGAGGGGUCACUGUGUGAUGGAAGCAGUUUGGAAGAUGGAUUCUGAGAGCAGAGGGGAAAUGGGGCGUGUCUCCACGCUGCCAAUGUGCUUAGCAUUGUCAAGCCAUAUACUUUCAGGUGAUGAAAAUGGUUGUUUAGUUUUGUCUGUUGGUCACAAAAAAGAGGUGAGAGGAGAAGGGAGGAGAGGAAGAGGGAGAGGAUGCAGGAAAAGGAGGAGGAGGAUGAAGGGGAAGAGGAGGAGGAAAGAGGAGAGAGAAGGAGACGAGGAUGAAAGUGAGGGAUAGAGAGAGGAGGAAAGGGAAGGAGGAGGGAGGAGAGAAGAGAAAGGAGAAGAGAGAGAGGAAGAAGAGCUGGGGAUAGGAGGAGGGAGAAAAGAGACAGGGAGAAGAGGAGGGAUCUCCCCAAGGGCUCCUGACAAUGGGGUUUUCCAGAAAGGCCCAAACCCAAGCCCCCAGCACCCCUUGGCUGGCCCUGGCCUGUGGCAGAGGACCACUGCUACCAUUCAAGUCAUCCACAUUCCAAGCAUAGUUCUCACGCUCAUCAAUGUCCCCUACUCUCCCAGCUCCAUCUCAGAGGCAGGAGCUCAAGAAGCCCCACUUACCACAUCUUCCAUCACCUUAAAAACCCUCCCCCAAGAACAAGGAAGGGCACAAUGCACCCACUGUGUGCAGACAGGUGUUCAGGGGCCACAGAUCCAUUUCACUGAAGCUUUCUAGUGCAGGACCGCCACCAACCCACACUCUCACAUACGGUGCAGAAAUGGCAGCACAAUCAGACCCAGCAAGACAGACCCCACAUCCUUCCUGUGUAGCCCCUUUCCAGACAAUUUUCAAGCAUUUUGAAACGUUCUUGAACUUUGAUGAUUUGGACAAUGCAAGCAAAUCUAUUAAGGGGCAUUGCAUGUGCUGUCACGGAGAGAGGCUGGUCCUCGAGUGACAAGUUGUCUUCCCACAGGACCUCAGAGGAUGAGCCCAGCACUCCCUCUCCAGUAGGAUGGAUGGCCCUUCAGGUAUCUGAAGGUUCUCCUUCCCUAGGCUCACUCCAGCAUUCCCAAGCCUUUCAGUAUUUCAUAUGCCAGGACUAGGAGCUCUCAUGAUAUCCUGCAAAUUACAUCCCUGCCCUCAAAAAAAUAUUUACAACCUACAGAUGAAUUAAGAUUGAAAAACGGAACAAGUCAGGCAUGGGGUGCCCACCUGCGACCCCAGCACUUAGGAGACAGAUGUGAGGUGAAGGCUAACCUAGGGUACACAAGGAGACUCUGUCUAGAAAACAAAACAAUGCUCCCCAAGCAGAAAAGAGAAAAGGCUGCAGACAUCCCGACCUAGGGUACACUGUACUUCACUGUUCAAUGCUUGGGUUUAGAACAGAAAGAGGACAGCCGAGGCUUGAUGCAUAGGGAAGAGCCAAGCCACAGUAGCUCUGAGGACACUCCAGGUGUGGCCCCUCCCUCCUGGUCUUCCUACUCUUGGGUGGGUGCCUACAGAGACCCCAGAAGCUGCAUCACGGCCUCUUCAAGUUGAUCUGGGUCCUGGUAACUGGAUGGGGUGGGUCCUGCCCCACUCUCAUUUCCCUUCAUUUUUCUAUAUUAGGGAUGAGGUGAUCUAUUUUUAGUGUGUGGCUGGUUAAGUCAGGGGUUGCUAUAGUGACGGCGAGUGACUACAAACCCAGAGCUGCUCAGAUUCCCAGUUGCAGAGAAAUCCCAACACAGAGUCCUGACAGGAAUGCAAUCUUGGAGAAUGGAGUGGCCCUGCCCAUGGGGGGUCCCUGCCUACUGUCUACAUGCCAUGGGAAGGCUGAGCCUGAGUCUUACUAGCAGGAAGUGAAUCUGGACUGGGGACUGAGAGAAGAACCAGAGAGCUGAUUGGAGAUGGAAUGCCAAAGCUCAGUCACAGCAAAUGAAGACCAAACACAGAAAUCCACAACUGGACACCAAAAGGCAGAGAUGACUGGACUGUGGAGGCAUGCAUGGACACAGUCACGUGUGUUCUCACUGUUGCUAUCGGUUUACAGUUCCGGCUACAAAUCUGCACUCAGCAACAAGAAAGCUUAGAAAGCAUCGAAGACCACAACCCUGGGAUAGUUCACCCUUCCAGCUUGUACCAUCAUUUUACCUUGAAUGUUACUUUUCUCUCUAGCUUGACUGACAGUGCUGUGCUCAGGGAUCCCCUCCCAUAAGAGAGACAGAACAAGCACAUGCUGAUGGAGUCCUUGCAGAUGGCUCCUCAGCAGUGAAGUGGGCCAGGGAAGCAGGUGGAGCUUCUUGGGAACAGCACGGCCUGUCCCUGGAGCACGCCUAGGCUGAAUGUCCCGGAGCCCAGGGAGGGACCCUGAGAACCCUCUGACCUUUGUAGUCAAGCUCUGCUCUGCACCGCCACAGGAUGCCCACAGGCCUAGGUCUUCUGAACGCGAAUGUGCAGGUUUUAUAGGUGUUGUGGAUGCCAUCAGGUCCGUUUCAGCAAAAACCGUUAAAAGCCAGAUUGUUCAAUAGAGUGCGGUGCUGGGGCAGGAGAGGUCACAGUCACAGACGGGCAGUCAAAGGAGCUGUAGGCAGGCGAGGGACUCAGUACUGCACUCCAGUGAAUAUCCGAGGGGUGUUCUCAUGCUCUGGGGACAGCACACACUAUAGGCCACACCUCCGCACUGUGGAAUAGUGAGCGCACUGUUGUAGUCCCGAGAGCUCCCUGGUGAUCCUGUAACCUAAACCAUGCAAGUAACCUACUUAAUCCUUGGAGGGCUCCUGAUGGUGACUGGCUAUGUCCCCACACAUGGGAGACACGCUAAGACAUAGAGACAUCUGCUGUACCGUAAGCUGGGAACAUUUAGACUUGAGGCUGGGGACUAUCCAGAACUGGCCAAUGUGGCUCUUAGUCUCUGCUGUGGAUACCACAGUGGCUACCCACCCUCCCUCCACCUGGACCCGCAAGGACCCCUCCACACGACUGAGUAGAGGAUGGGACUCUGAGCGCUUUAGUCUCAUCCGAUGACGACAUGGUUAGGGACAGUUUCGUUCUCUUGCUACCUGGAAGUCCAUUUCAGAAAAGCCCUCAAACCCUCAUGACCACUGAAGCUACUCUGGAUGUCCUGAUAAAUUUUACUAAAAUUGUCACACGGACCUAGAGGGGAGAAAAGCAGCUGAGACUCAGGGUGCAGCAGGGGCGCCUUGUUCCAUUUAUGAGAAGGGGGUCUCUCAUGCUAGUGCAGAGCUGCUGAGGCCUGAAAUCCACGGGCUCCAGGGCCGGUCUCCCCACCCGGAGGUCACAGGCUGCCUGGUAAGCGUGUUCACACAUUCUAUGUGGAGAGACUUCCCCAAAGCACUUUCCUGUGUUUUCAACAUGCUGGGAGGAGGCGGCUAGCCGCUGUUGUUCAGUUAGGGAUAGUCAGGGACAGAAGUUCACAGCAGCCUUCAGGACUCCAGAGUGGCCUGGAAGAGAGCUGGGAUCUUUGGCCCACUCCACAGCUUCCUUAUCCAGGGACAAUUAGGACCCAGCAGCUGCUUCUCUGUUGCCGGGAUGUAGGAAAAGUAACUGAGGACACACCAACAAAACCUGGUUGUGACCCUCACAGGGCCUGACGAGCACCCAGGUCCUUGAGAGGCUGCUGCCAAUCCAAAGCUUGGGGUGUGAGGUGCAGAUCCCUCUGGAGCAGGGAGCUGUGUAUACACUGGCUAGAGCACUCGACGCUUGCAAAACAGCGGGUCAUAUUUCACGGAGAGCUCUGAAGGUUGUGUCGCACUGAGUUCUCAGUGAACUCGCCCUUGGGGCCUCCCUUAUGCCUUCUUCACGGACUGACUGCGUUUGAGUCACACCUCUGAGGCAUGGCCCUCCCCACCUGACGCAGGCAACCAUGUGGCUCCGAGUCACCCCAGCACACUCAGGGUCACACCUCACCUCGCGGCGCCUGGGGGAACCGGAGUUGGGAGGAUCUGAGUGACAAGAGAGUGUUUAUUUUGGCAAAGACAAACUCAGUUCACCCAGGUCAGCUCGCACCGAUGGCAUCUAAGCCCACUGAGACUCCAAAGCGGCCACACACAAGCCUGCAGUUAAAGACACAGAGAGGUGCUGCGUGCUUGUUAUGCAAGCAUGGGAGCCUGGGUUAGGAUCCCCAGAAGUCACAGAAAAAGCCAGGUGUGGCUGUGCAUGCCUACAGCCCCAGCAUCCAAGAGGGCAGAGAUAGGAGGAUUGCUGGGGUUUGCUGGCUGCCAGUCUAGCUGAACCAACACCAAGCCCCAGCCAGGUUCAGUGAGACAUACUGUCUCAAGGGAAUAAAGCAGAUAGGGACAGAUAGAGUACAUGUGCACGCACACACACACACACACACACACACACACACACACACACACACAGAAGUGAAAACCUACGGCAAUAAUGAUUUUCAGCUACAAUGUUAGAGCCAGGAAGUACGAAAUCUGUAGAUCUCCGAGUCUUGAAGGGGCUACAUGUGCCCAUGCAGGGCUCUCAGGGGCCUUCUUUAGUUCUUUCUGUGGUUCCUGUAUUCUGGAGUUGACAGGUAUCCACUCAUCAAGAUCUCUGUAAAAGUACAUCAGGCCUAGGGCUCCAAAGGUCCACAGACCAGCGGGAAGGACAAAGAUCAGCUGCUUUGUGGCCCAGAGGACAGAUCCUGGGCUCAGAGGGCCCUGGAGCGGUAGAUCUAAAGGCCACACAUCAGAUAUUCUGAUUAAAGCAACAAAGUAAGCUAGGAAUGCGCCCCAGCUGUGGCAGGGGAAGAAGACCUCUGUGCUCCCAGACUCGGCCAAAAGCCAGCAUCUGGCUGGCCUAACCUCGCCUGCCAGGAACCUGAGCAGGGAUGCCAUUUUCUGGGAUCUGGGGUUCCUUUGAAGGACCCCAACUGCUCCUGCACUCAUUCAUUCGGAAAUUCAAUGAACAGGAGUUCAGAAUGUGAGGUCUGAACCGAUGGCUGCCUUUGGUUUCUUCUCAAAGUGAAAUAAGUGAUAAAAUGAGGUGGUAGACAGAAAGGUUUGCCCUUCUCAGGUCAAUUGCAACCCCUGAGAGAAAUCUGGGUCCACUCACAGGCCUGCAAUCUUGAGCAAUUUCAAGGGUUCUUCAACAAUUCUCCUGUAACACAGAUGGCUACACAGCAGGCCUGGCUCAUUCGGAGACCUUACAAGGAUGAGAAGAGAUGAUAGGCCAGAGACGUCCCGUGAGCUGCACAGCAUCAACCACCGAUGCCAUGGCAACGCCGUCCCCACUGCCUGGGCCUCCCCUUCACUGGUGUCACCUGCCCUGCCGUCUCCAUCUCAGGCUCACACUUCUGAGAACAAACUGCGAUCCCUGGUACCCACCUCCUUCAUCCUGCCCUUUCCUCCAUUCCAACAGGUGCCAGGGUCUACAGGAGCAAGCACACAGGAGCAGCACAUUAAGGUAGUUCUGGUCAUCGUCAAAACCAGACUUUUUUUUGUGCAUCAAAGGAUUUCAUCAAAAGAGUGAAGAUGACUCACAGAGAAAAUAUUUGCAAGUCAUUUAUCUGCAAAAUACCCCGUGUCCAGAAUUCCUAUGAACCAGUAACAAAAAGAUGACACAAUUGAAAACACGCAGGAGGGAUUGUAGAAAUUAAGAGCGCUAGCUGCUCUUUCAGGCGACCCAGGUUCAGUUCCCAGCACCCACAUCAGGUGGCUCACAACCCCCUAUAACUCCAGCUUUGGGGAAUCCAAGGCCCUCUUCUGGCCUUUGCAGGCACUCGCAUGCAUGUGGUGCACAUAAACAUUCUCUCUCUCUCUCUCUCUCUCUCUCUCUCUCUCUCUCUCUCUCUCUCUCUCUCUCUCUCAAUGAAUCUUGAAUGAAAAAAACAAAUGAGCAGGAGGCCCCAUCAGACACUUCUCCAAAGAUUAAAUAACAAGGCCACACACACGUUUGAGAAAAUCUCAUGCCAAGUGGAUUGAUCUUGCCAGGUUCUGGGAGUGGAGGGAUGGUAAGUGCUGGGUGAUGGGGACAAGGUUCUGUUUGGGGUAAUUGCUAAUUUGGAUCAUAAAUGUUCCCUAGGGGGUUAUGUGCUACUGGCUUGGUGCCCAGUGUGUGGCACCACUGGGAAGUGGGUCUAAGAGAAGAAAGGUCACUGGUUGUGUACCCUUGAAGGGAAUAUUGAGAGUCCAGCUCUUCUCUGCCUCCUCAACACCAUGAGGUGAGACACCUCCACUGCCACAGUCCCACGACAUCCUCUCCAGAAACUGUCCGGUCCUUUCUCAACAACUUCAACAUAAAGUCAUGACGUAAGUCACCACAGGCUGACACCUCUGCAUCGUCACAGGCAGUCACAGACAGACACCUCUACAUCAUCAACCAAACGAAGCCUUUCUCCUCAGGUACCUACCUCCAGUGCUUUGUCACGGAGACAGCUAGCAGUGAUGAAACAGCCCUGAGACUCGAGAGGUUCUUCCUCUGGCUAUACUUCAGGAAGGCCAGUGACACCCAUUCUCCGUCUCUCCAGAGUCGGAACCAAUGCCCAGGCACCACGGAGUCCCGUGACAGCUAACAGCAAGAGAUGCACCACUGGAGACCCACAGCGGCGCCCCAGGUCCUGACCCACUCACUGGUCAGCAUGUGGCUGCACUAGGUGAUUCCUAAUGGUGGCGGGUGGCUCGGCCCACAGGCGUAUGGAGUCCUGCCAGGAACCAUCAAACAGAGAUCUCAGACUCACUUCCAUCUCCCUUUCCGGCAACUGUGUAAGUAGGAACACAGCAGACUACCAAGAAAAGCAUGCCAGCAUGGUGCCGCUGUCACUUAACCUGGGCAACAAGGUGGAGGGGCGGCAGGGUAGAGGGCUCAAGUCCGUCCCGCCGGCUUCUUUCACAGCAGUGAAAAAUGCUAGAUAAUCCACUGCGUUCUAGCGGGGUGGGAGGGGGCACGGGUGGGCUAGAGGAAGACAUUUCUGGAAGAUGUGUCCAAAGGAAUCUCAGAGACAACAGUGGCAGCUGGGAGACUGGAAGAGUGGAAGGGUUGGGAGCGGAGGCCAGAGCAACAUUCAUUCAGCACUCUGCACGGUCACAAGAGACACCUCUGUCUUAUUUAAAAGGGGCCUACGGAGCGGGGAACACCCCAGUCAGUAGAGUGCUUUCCACGCAGGCAUGAGGACCCGCGUUCAGAGAAAGAAAGGAGGCAGGUGCAGUGGCUGGAAUUCCAGCCGGGAGACAGAGAGGAGGGUCCCUGAGAAGCCUGUUGGCCAGCCAGCCUAGUGACAAUGGUUAGCCUCAAGUUCAGUGAGAAACCCUGCCUCAAAAACAAACAGACAAACAAGCUGGGGAGUGACUGGAGUUGUUACCUGAUUUUGGCCUCUGGCCUCUGCAUGCAUGUGCAUAGAGACACAGACAGACAGACAGACAGACAGACAGACACACACACACACACACACACACACACACACACACACAUAUGCAGAAAUUAGAAGUCCAAUAAGGAGGGCAAGAAAGUUGGGAUCUCAGACAAGCUCUGCAGGGAGUGUGUGGCGCUUGGGCCACACUGGAAAGGCAGCCUCGGGGUAACCUGCUUCCUCCUGGCCCAAGUGAUGGUCCGGACAAAACGUCAAAGGAGUCCACGUUCCCAGACAGCUGAGGUUGGCUUCUGCCUGGAAGACCCAGCCAGAGUGUCGGCACUUCUCAGAACUGAUAUAAGACUUCCACGUGAAGGGCAGGGCAUGUAGAAAAGGAAGCCCAUGACCCAGAAGCGGGAGGUGUGAGGCUGAACUCUUGGAGACCACCUGGCUGGGCUGACGGUGCACAGGGCUGAUGAUCUCUAUGUCUGUGCUCAUCCUGGCUGCCACACAGAGGGGACCCUAGGGGCCUCCCAGACACUUGUGCUGGAUUUACUUCCAAGGGAAGGUGGGAUUCCUAGAGAAGACUCCCAGGUACCCUCAGAGGACAUAAAGGAGGGUCGAAACCCUGGAACUGGAGCUAUGGGUGCUUGUAAACUGCCCCCAUGGGUGCCGGAAAGUUGAACUUGGGUCCUGUGGAAGAGCAGCAAGCAAGCGUUCUUCGACACUGAGCCAUCUCUCCACCCCACUGCUGGUGUCUUCAUCAGCAACAGCUGCCUCUCUGGGCUGUCCUGUUGAUCAGUGGAUUGGACACUUGUGACAGCCUCCUCACACUGGGAGACAGCCUGUGCCUGAGAACCUCCAGCUCCUGUCACGUUCUUCCACCAACCCUGAGCUGUUGACACGUGGCUCUCAUCUAAUCCUAACCCAGUUCCACCCUGGAAGCCUCGCCUCCACCCACACUUGGGAGUUCUAAUUCAUUCUGAGCCCGUGUCUCUGCAAGAUCAUCAAAACUCCAUGGAGGGACGUCCCCCUCAGCAGCUUCCCCUACAGGCUGUACUGUGGCUGGAUAAUCAGCUUUAAACCCUCUCGGUGACUCCACCUACAGGCUGUACUGUGGCUGGAUAAUCAGCUUUCCACCCCCUCAGGAGCUUCCCCUACAGGCUGUACUGUGGACAGACAUGGGAGCACAUCUGUAACCUCAGCACUCAGGAGGCUGAGGCAGGAGGAUCAUGAGUUGCUAUGCCACAUUGUGAGACCCUGUUCAAAAGCAAAAACAAGCCCUAAAACAAGAGCAACAAAACGAGAAAACCAAGAAGAAAUCAUCAGCCUGGGUAGAAAUGAGAACCUCAGCCACACCAAGGAGACAAAACAAAGGUCAAAGAAGGUCAGCUGUAGCCGAGGCUGGCACCUGGGUGGAUGAAUUCAGUUCCUGAAUUGAUGUCUUUCUCAGAACCUCAGAUGUGCCUUGUUUUACUGCAGAAGUAAUUACUCGAGAUGGGAUUAUCUUAGAGUGGGACAGGCCCGUAAUCUCACGUGACUGGUGUCCUUUUAAGACGAGAAGAAACACGUGUAGUGGGGCUAAGGACCACAAGGCAAGGGAGAGAGCAUGUGCUCGUCACAUCCGUGCUGCCGUGACACAAGACGGCAGAAACGACGAAAACGUGGGGCAUUUUCAAAGUCUUCGGUCUGUCGUGGUGGUGAAGGCCUGUGGUGAAGAUCAUGGAGCAGGAACAGCUCGCCAAGGCUCCUCACAGCCGGGAGAGCAUUGAGAACCAGCCUGGGGCUAUCACCUUAAAAGGCAUGUCCCUAGAAACCUGCUUCUCGCCGAUAAACCCGAAGGUUCCACAGCCUCUCCGAGCUGCACCGCCAGCUGGGAAGGGAAUGCCCAGAACAUGAGCCUGUGGGAUAUUGCAGACCCAAACCGUUACAGAGACUGAGUAAGCUGACCAAGGGCCUGCGACAGAUCUUCCCCAGGGCAGAGAUGGAUUAAACAUGCUUCUCCAGCACCCUGACGUCAGCCUCUGGAUAGUGAGGGCUCUCUUCUGCUGCUUCAGGAGUCUGUGUCUGCCCCCAUCAGUCCAUCACCUAGCCUUGGCCAUCCAUCACUGAGUGACUCAGGCAUCCCCACUUUGCUACUCAGAUAUACUAUAAAAGGAAUCAAGGACAUAAGCCUGGGGAUUUUUCUGGAUUGAAUAUAACAAACAAACAAACUAACUAAAUAUCCAUACAUUCUUGUAUUAAUUCCCCCAGAGUCAAUAGGAUCUCUUCCCUUCCCAAAUCUCAAGCUCAGCUGAGUUCUUUUUAAAAACCAAACACACCAAAUCCUCCCAAUAAAUUGUCUUCCUAGUUUAAAAAGCCAAAAGGGAAGCUAGGUGUGAUGGCACUUCCCUUUAAUCCCAGUAUGCGGAAGGCAGAGGAUUAUAAAUUUGAGGCUACCUUGAGCUACAUAGCAAUUUGGAGGCCAACCUGGGCAACACAGUAAGACCUCAUUUCAGAAACAAAACAGAAACACAGUAGGUUGACAGAGCAAGAACGGGGACCAAAACCAGCUUCAGAAUCAAGGCCCGACACACCGCCAAGGUCCUUUUGUACGAAUGUGGGUCAAAGAACGAGCAGGCAGUGCAGACGGGAAAGCUGGGCUGUUAGAUGAUUACUGUCCACUCUGGACAAAAGUGGGGCAGCUGAGCAGACGCCCAGCUAUUCUUGGUAAAGAGACCAGACAGGACAGUCCUCUCAGGACUCUGGGAAAUGAGCAAUGCCCGCCUGACAUCCUGCAAUGGACACAGGGGGUGUCAUGGGACUAUUACCAGAAAGCCCCUCUGAGCUGUGGAAUGAAUUCUGGGGCAGCGAGGAGCAAUAUGAUGUCUGGGUACUUUAAUCUAGGAAGAGAUGUUCAAACCUCAGGGAAAGUAGAUAAAUUAUCUACUCUCCAAGCCGGCCUCACACCAGACCCAGCUGAAACUCCAGAUGAAGGGGUCCGGCAAUCUGCUGCUGUGGGCUCCGGCUGGCUCUAGACCUGCACAUUGGUACCUGGUGGGUGUGAGGAAAGCUCACGUUCAAGGGCAACGACAUGAGCCACCGCCCUGGAGAAAGACCUGAUUUGUGAAACAGUCCCUCAUUCCACAGGCUUCCCCCCAAGAAGCCAAGUCCUCUCAAUCAACCUGAUCAAUUUUCAUCUUUGUGUGAAGCCCAGGCCAUUCCAUAAUCCUUCCUAGGCCCAAUCCACAGCUGUCUAGGAGGAUGGGGGAAGAGAAGCCUUCUUCCUGGCCUGAACACAGAAGGGCCUUUUAGAAGACUAAAAUGGAAGAGGCAGCAUGAACUCCUGCCCAGGGAGCUAGAAAAGGGGUCUGUGGUCAUGUCUGUGAUUCCACCCAAUAGCUCCUCCAAUGGUGGGGAGCUGUGGUACCCAGCUCUCGACACAUCCUGACACUCAUGUCAGUAUUUGGCACGGGCCUAGACCUGGUUCUUCACAUAGUAGUCUUCACGUCGCAUGUGGCCCCAGCCCCAUGCUGCUGACACGUGUCUGCUUUGCUGACUUGGGACAAAUUGACACUAGGCUUACAAAGCUCACACACGGCCUUGGGGCUCAGGGCCCAGCGCAGGUGCGGAGGAGGAGGAGGAGGAGGAGGAGGAGGAGGAGGAGGAGGAGGAGGAGGUAGCAGUGUUUGGUUUCUGAAAGGGGAAGAAGCCAAGGAGCACAGAUACACCUGGAGUGUGGGCACAGGACAUGGACUGUGACCCUCACCCAUAGCAAGGCUUCUCAGAGCAUGCAUGAGGACCAGAGGCACCAGCCUUUCUGCUUCCCAGACAGCCCCUUUCCCUGUGCCUUAGAGGCUAGAUAUUUCGGGAGUGGUUGCGCGAGGGUGGGGUUCUGCGCCCCUCAGUCUGUGAAGUUUGAUGGUGGCCCAUUCUGUCCUUCCAUGUGCCUGCCUUGCCUAGGACCCUAAGAGAGAGUGCUGGGCCUCUGAGGGGGUCUCCUAGGGAACACAGACACUCAUGUCAGUAUUCGGCACGGGCCUAGACCUGGUUCUUCACAUAGUAGUCUUCACAUCGCAUUGGGCAAGUCGGCCUAGGGUCAUGCACUCCUGUGCUCGCUGAAACUGCUCCUGCACCAACUCUGUACACACCUACGCCAAACACACACCUGCAUGCACCGAGUUCACACACUCCUGCUCUGAGUACAAACCCACAUGCACCAAGUCCCCACAGUUCUGCACUGAGUACACAUCGCAUGCAUGACCUGGGCUAACUCUAGCUGGGUCUCCCAGGUCUGCCCUAAGCCACCUCACACAACCAGGAAGCCUCUCACGUGGCUCAUUCACCUGGAGAUCUGCUAGCCCCGCCACAUCCAACACCCUGAUGCUGGCUUUGAUCUUGAACACUAGCCUUCGCUGUCCCUGAUCUGACCUCUCUCCCCUGCUUCCAGACAACACCAGCUACCACCAAGCUCAUUUUAAAACACGUAUUUAUCUUUCAAGCUAAGCAUAUGGCACAGACCUGUAACCCCAGCUACUCAGAAGGAGGAGGCGGAGGACUGCAGGCCGAAAGCCUGCCUGGCUACACAGUGGGUUCAAGGCCCGCCCUGAGACACUGUCUCAAACUACAAAAGAGAGACAGGGCAGGGCCUGGAGCUCGGG